rnacentral:rRNA from 1 species
AUUGAACGCUGGCGGCAGGCCUAACACAUGCAAGUCGAGCGGAUGAAGGGAGCUUGCUCCUGGAUUCAGCGGCGGACGGGUGAGUAAUGCCUAGGGAUCUGCCUGGUAGUGGGGGAUAACGUCCGGAAACGGGCGCUAAUACCGCAUACGUCCUGAGGGAGAAAGUGGGGGAUCUUCGGACCUCACGCUAUCAGAUGAGCCUAGGUCGGAUUAGCUAGUUGGUGGGGUAAAGGCCUACCAAGGCGACGAUCCGUAACUGGUCUGAGAGGAUGAUCAGUCACACGAGAACUUAGACACGGUCCAGACGCCUACGGUAGGCAGCAGUGGGGAAUAUUGGACAAUGGGCGAAAGCCUGAUCCAGCCAUGCCGCGUGUGUGAAGAAGGUCUUCGGAUUGUAAAGCACUUUAAGUUGGGAGGAAGGGCAGUAAGUUAAUACCUUGCUGUUUUGACGUUACCAACAGAAUAAGCACCGGCUAACUUCGUG